rnacentral:rRNA from 1 species
UACGUAGGGUGCGAGCGUUAAUCGGAAUUACUGGGCGUAAAGGGUGCGCAGGCGGUUCUGUAAGUCAGAUGUGAAAUCCCCGGGCUUAACCUGGGAACUGCGUUUGAAACUACAGGACUAGAGUGUGGCAGAGGGGGGUGGAAUUCCAUGUGUAGCAGUGAAAUGCGUAGAGAUAUGGAAGAACAUCGAUGGCGAAGGCAGCCCCCUGGGUUAACACUGACGCUCAUGCACGAAAGCGUGGGGAGCAAACAGG